GUGGUUCUGUCCCUGUGGCCCUCUCCCUGUAGUCCUGUCCUGUGGCCCUAUCCCUGUGUCCUGGUCCCUGUGGCCCUGGCCCUGUGGCCCUGGCCCUGUGGCCCGGUCCGUGUGGCCCUUUUGUCCCUGUGGCCCUGUCAUAUGGCCCGGUCCCUGUGGCCCUGUCCCAGUGAUCCUGUCCCUGUGGCCCUGCUGUCCCUGUGGUCCUGUCCCUGUGGCCCGGUCCCUGUGGUGCUGUGGUCUUCUGAGCCUUGCUGUUCGCACACACGCUUCCGUCUCUAAGGACUGCACUGUCUACUUUGCAGGACAGAUUCAGUGUCACGGAUCCAGCACCAACUUGGCUGGAGCUGAGCAUCUGAAACCGCCAAGUACCUGCUGACAUCCCAGGAAGGAAGUAGCUGUGUGACCUUCUCAUCAUCACAAAACAGAGGCUCUACAGCCAUUGGAUCUUCUUCUAAGUUGUCAGGGGAGGCAGGAGGCGACCCCAUCCUCAGGAGAUUGACAGCCUACCUGUGGAGAUGAGGACCCGCAGUGACAUUGUGGGGCUGCACAAGGUGAAAGUGUGGUCUCGUGUUCAAGAAGUAGGCAGAAUUUCGAGACGAGCCCAGCAGGGCAUCUCCCUGUGCACGUGGCCUUCCACGGGGUCGGCCCCCCCGACAGAGCGCCUGGGAGGGAACGGCUUCUGCCCACGCCUUCGCCUUCGCCGCCCCUGUCUGCGUGGUCCCAGCUCCUCCUCUUGAGAUCAGCGGCGUUUUCUCAGAACCGUGGGGUCCCGCUCAUAGACACCCGUGUCGGCCGCGAUGCAGGAAGA